rnacentral:rRNA from 1 species
ACGACCUUUAUUCUUCCAAGAAAAGCUUGAAUCAUUUAUACAUAAGAAAAUCUGUACCCGAAACUGGCACAAGUAGGUAGGUAUAUUAUACUAAGGGGCUCGAGAGACUUCUCUCUAAGGAACUCGGCAAAAUGACUCCGU